AUCUCAUCAUCUCUUUCCCCCACACCCACCCGCCCACCGGACCGCCGACCGCCACAAAAUGAAACCUCACAAGCCCAAUUUAACUAGGCAUCUCCCACCGAACGCUAGGAUUAACUAAAGUUUCCUCUCUUUCCUCUUUGCUCGCCAGAGGGAGACAUGGACGACAGCCAGGACGACGCGAGGUAUCCCCCCAAUCAUCCCUACCCUUCGAUUCGCCGCCGCCCGUUCUCCUCCUCCUCCUCCUCCCAUCAAUCCAAGAUCUCCGCCCCCCAGAACUCUUCCUUCCCUCGGCCCAUCGGCCGUCGCUAUGCCGACGAGGACGACGAAGACGAGCAGAACGACAUAGAUGAAGCCGGGGACGAAGACGACGAGGAGGAGGAGGACCAAGACGACGGCGGAAGAUAUCGCCAGAUCCGGGACGACGACGACGACGACGACGACGACGAGGAUUCGUCGGAGAGCCGCGGGAAGCGGAGGAGGCUGGACAGGUUUGCCCUAGGGUUCGAAUUCGCCCCCCGUGUGCCCCGGCCGGCGGCCGCGCCACCAGCGGGCAAGAUUCCUGCAAAAAGCUCCCCCGCCGAUUGGUCGGAGGACGCGACUUUUGUGCUCCUAGACGCCUGGGGCGAUCGCUACGUCCAGAACGGCCGCAAGAGCCUCCGGUCCGACGAGUGGACCGAGGUCGCCAAGAAGGUCUCGCAGUCCUCUAGGACCACGCGAUCGGACGCCCAGUGCCGGAACCGGCUCGAUACCCUAAAGAAGAAGUACAAGAAAGAGAAGGUGAGGAUGGCGGAGCAUGCGAGUGCUAGCAGCAAGUGGGUUUAUUUCAAGAAAAUGGAUGAACUGAUGUCGUCGCCGUCACCGCCGGCGGCGGGGGCUCGGCAGCAGCAACCUCCGAGACUGCCAUGCGGGGUUGAUGCCGGGGAGUACGUCUUUGCGAGCUCCAGUGUGUAUCUGGACCGCUCGAAUGGUAACGAUGAGAUGAGGGACAGCCCAGGGGACACGGGGUCGGAGGAUGCGGUGGACGAGGAAGAUGAUGAUGAAUCUGAUGGGCUUCCGCCGACUAGGGAGAAGGUUUCAGUGAGGAGCUCGGAUUCUUCGUUCAGAAUGCUGGCUGAUUCCAUUCAAAAGUUUGGGGAGAUAUAUGAGAAGAUGGAGAACAGCAAGCGGCAGCAAAUGGCGGAGCUAGAGAGAAUGAGGAAGGAGUUCCAGAGGGAUUUGGAGGUGCAUAAGAGGCAGAUUUUGGAGAGGGCACAGGCAGAGAUUGCAAAAAUAAGGGAGGAAGAGGGGGAGGAUGAGGAAGAGGAGAGGAGUGAAGAUGAUGAGGAUGGGGAUGAUGAGAUUGAUGUUUCUGCUGAGAACUUGAGCGGGUGAGCGUGCUUAUUUGUUGCCAACAGAAUGCUGAAGUUGGAAUCUAUGAAUAUGGUGGCAAUAAAUGAUCGCAUAAUUCAGCAAUUUGUCCGGGAGAAUGUACAGCUUCAUCGUUUGGCAGCACAAGUUGAGGAGUAUAGACUAUAUACCUGAAUGCUCUGUAUGAAAUUUGCAACAAGAAUAGAAGAGGCUGGGGGCUUGCUUGCAAAUAAUAUUAUUGUAUGCUAGAGCAUUACUGAUGUAAUUUGAAUUUCUAUGUUUUAUGUAUUCGGGGCUGACGAGUCUUUGUAUUUUUCACCACGCUCUGAAUAAACAGAUUUAAGGAUGAUUUUAUUGUCUGUCAAAGUUCUAAGAACAGAUGAUUUUCCAGGGCACGUCUGUGAACAUUUAAAGCUGCAUGAUCGUCACUGGAGAUGUACAUUUACUCACUUUGUUCUUUCUGAUGCUUCAAUCGAUCAGGUAAGCCUUUCUUC